rnacentral:rRNA from 1 species
UUGGGAGGUAAAUUUCUCUUAAGGCUAAAUAUCGGCGAGAGACCGAUAGCGAACAAGUACCGUGAGGGAAAGAUGAAAAGAACUUUGAAAAGAGAGUAAAAUAGUACGUGAAAUUGUUGAAAGGGAAACGAUUGAAGUCAGUCGUACCGACGGAAAAUCAGCUCUUCGAGUGUGAACUUGUGGGCGUACGUGAGCUUUAACCGGCCUCGUUGGUUGCGAUGUUUGUGCUUUUUGGGUGUACUUUUUCGUAUGGUUGGCCAACGUCAGUUUCGGUCACCAUAAAAUGAUUGGAGGAAUG